CUAUACAUGCAGUCGAGCGAACAGAUAAGGAGCUUGCUCCUUUGACGUUAGCGGCGGACGGGUGAGUAACACGUGGAUAACCUACCUAUAAGACUGGGAUAACUUCGGGAAACCGGAGCUAAUACCGGAUAAGAUUUUGAACCGCAUGGUUCAAUAGUGAAAGACGGCCUUGCUGUCACUUAUAGAUGGAUCCGCGCCGUAUUAGCUAGUUGGUAAGGUAACGGCUUACCAAGGCAACGAUACGUAGCCGACCUGAGAGGGUGAUCGGCCACACUGGAACUGAGACACGGUCCAGACUCCUACGGGAGGCAGCAGUAGGGAAUCUUCCGCAAUGGGCGAAAGCCUGACGGAGCAACGCCGCGUGAGUGAUGAAGGUCUUCGGAUCGUAAAACUCUGUUAUCAGGGAAGAACAAACGUGUAAGUAACUGUGCACGUCUUGACGGUACCUGAUCAGAAAGCCACGGCUAACUACGUGCCAGCAGCCGCGGUAAUACGUAGGUGGCAAGCGUUAUCCGGAAUUAUUGGGCGUAAAGCGCGCGUAGGCGGUUUUUUAAGUCUGAUGUGAAAGCCCACGGCUCAACCGUGGAGGGUCAUUGGAAACUGGAAAACUUGAGUGCAGAAGAGGAAAGUGGAAUUCCAUGUGUAGCGGUGAAAUGCGCAGAGAUAUGGAGGAACACCAGUGGCGAAGGCGACUUUCUGGUCUGUAACUGACGCUGAUGUGCGAAAGCGUGGGGAUCAAACAGGAUUAGAUA
rnacentral:rRNA from 1 species